rnacentral:lncRNA from 1 species
CCUUGAGGCUUGUGAGAAUUGUUUCUGUAUAUUAAUAGGAGAUGCUUGAAACCGACUUUACUUGUUUGUUUCCCGGCAGGAAAGCCUGAGUACUUAGGCUUAAACUGAAUCAAGACCAGCUCUCAGCAGUGGGAGACAAUAUAUUAAUCCAUUGGAAGCACGGACUGCAGUCUUGUGUGUCACUGUGGUUUGGGUUGUGAAUUUUUUUCAUGUGAACAGGGCAAAGAAACAAACUGGGCAGACUAUAGCAAAGCUCCCAUUAUUGGCAAGAGUAAAGAGAACUCCAACAGAGCAUUGAGAAAACCUAUUCUCCUUUCUCCUCAAGCUGCAGAUCAAAUGAGACUCAAAUAAAACAAAGGAAAUAUAUUGUUCUGCCAAGGCAUUAGACUGCAGUCUUUGAAGAGUAGACAAGGAACAGGCAUACAUUAAUUCACAGGCAGACAUUAAUUCAAAUUAUGGAGCAGAAUUUAUAUUUCCCUUUCAGGUACUGUAGAAAUUAUUUUGUUUGGUUUGUGUUUGAUUUUGGGGUUUGGGUUUUUUUUA